rnacentral:rRNA from 1 species
GCACAGAGAGCUUGCUCUCGGGUGACGAGCGGCGGACGGGUGAGUAAUGUCUGGGAAACUGCCUGAUGGAGGGGGAUAACUACUGGAAACGGUAGCUAAUACCGCAUAAUGUCGCAAGACCAAAGUGGGGGACCUUCGGGCCUCAUGCCAUCAGAUGUGCCCAGAUGGGAUUAGCUAGUAGGUGGGGUAACGGCUCACCUAGGCGACGAUCCCUAGCUGGUCUGAGAGGAUGACCAGCCACACUGGAACUGAGACACGGUCCAGACUCCUACGGGAGGCAGCAGUGGGGAAUAUUGCACAAUGGGCGCAAGCCUGAUGCAGCCAUGCCGCGUGUGUGAAGAAGGCCUUCGGGUUGUAAAGCACUUUCAGCGGGGAGGAAGGCGUUAAGGUUAAUAACCUUGGCGAUUGACGUUACCCGCAGAAGAAGCACCGGCUAACUCCGUGCCAGCAGCCGCGGUAAUACGGAGGGUGCAAGCGUUAAUCGGAAUUACUGGGCGUAAAGCGCACGCAGGCGGUCUGUCAAGUCGGAUGUGAAAUCCCCGGGCUCAACCUGGGAACUGCAUUCGAAACUGGCAGGCUAGAGUCUUGUAGAGGGGGGUAGAAUUCCAGGUGUAGCGGUGAAAUGCGUAGAGAUCUGGAGGAAUACCGGUGGCGAAGGCGGCCCCCUGGACAAAGACUGACGCUCAGGUGCGAAAGCGUGGGGAGCAAACAGGAUUAGAUACCCUGGUAGUCCACGCCGUAAACGAUGUCGAUUUGGAGGUUGUGCCCUUGAGGCGUGGCUUCCGGAGCUAACGCGUUAAAUCGACCGCCUGGGGAGUACGGCCGCAAGGUUAAAACUCAAAUGAAUUGACGGGGGCCCGCACAAGCGGUGGAGCAUGUGGUUUAAUUCGAUGCAACGCGAAGAACCUUACCUGGUCUUGACAUCCACAGAACUUAGCAGAGAUGGUUUGGUGCCUUCGGGAACUGUGAGACAGGUGCUGCAUGGCUGUCGUCAGCUCGUGUUGUGAAAUGUUGGGUUAAGUCCCGCAACGAGCGCAACCCUUAUCCUUUGUUGCCAGCGGUUAGGCCGGGAACUCAAAGGAGACUGCCAGUGAUAAACUGGAGGAAGGUGGGGAUGACGUCAAGUCAUCAUGGCCCUUACGACCAGGGCUACACACGUGCUACAAUGGCAUAUACAAAGAGAAGCGACCUCGCGAGAGCAAGCGGACCUCAUAAAGUAUGUCGUAGUCCGGAUUGGAGUCUGCAACUCGACUCCAUGAAGUCGGAAUCGCUAGUAAUCGUAGAUCAGAAUGCUACGGUGAAUACGUUCCCGGGCCUUGUACACACCGCCCGUCACACCAUGGGAGUGGGUUGCAAAAGAAGUAGGUAGCUUA